UUUCCCUCCAGGGCUGGAUCCUGGAUGGAGUGGGGCUUAUGCAGAUCACCUUGCAGAGGAAAGAAGGAAGAGGAGAGAGAGACAGAGAUGGGGGCCUAAAUGUAGAUAUUGUACACUUUUACAGUUGCAGAUUCAGACUGCACAGUCCCGGACAGAUCCCCACUAAAGGUCUGGGUAAAAGUCCUGAAACCUCCUCUCAAUUUCAGAUGCCCUCCCGCCAAUCAGCUGACUCCAAGUGGAGCAAAGCCCAGGUCUUGACAUAGAUACAGAUAACAUACACGCCCAGAUGAUGUCACAAUCAGCUGUAUCUAAACAGAGCAGAGCUCAGGUGACAUCACAGAACAGGCAGAGGCAGUUCAGGGGUAUUCUGGUUGCCUUACCCAGCUCUGAAGUCUGUCAGCCUCUUCAGAUGUCACUUGCCAUGUGGUAAGGAAGUGUAGUCAGCAGCUGGUGCAGUGGGAAGAAGAGAAAGGAAGUUCCCCAAGACAAAAACAUCUCGGCAGACUUCAUCAUGAAUUCAUGGCAUCACACAGUCCCCUGAUGCUAUAACAUCAUGGAUUUCUUUUGUCCAGUGAGAGGCCCAAAAGCUGCAGCAUAGACAAUAUCAUAGUGUAGAAGGUUCACUAGACCGUGAUCAUGGGCUACAUUCUCCGUACCAGCUUCAUAGCUCCAGUGAGAAAAUAAAUUCCUGCAUCCAGGAGAUGUGGAGUAAGAGAUACAGCUGCCCUUGACCAUAUUUCUUACUUCCGAGAAGAUCGUAGCAGUAAUUCAGAAUCUCAUCCAGGAUACCUCAUCACAGGCUGGAGUGCAGUGUCAUGAGCUUGGCUCACUACAGCCUCCAUCUUCUGUGCUUAAGGAUCCUUCCCUCUCAACCUCCAAGGUAGCUGAGACUACAGGCAACAUUCGAAACCCAGGUGCCACUCCUUCAGGAAGGUACCAUCAAGCUCCAAGGACUCAUCCUCUUUCUCCUUCCCCACUACCUAGUCAUUAGAGCGUCAGCAUCCACUUCCUGAAAGGAAGAUGCCUGUUUUUCACAUAUCCCAGAAAGCCUCAUUUUAGGACAGCAUUUAGCAGAGUGUAUUCAGGAUCCCACUAACCUUUUCGGAAGACAUGACUUCCAGAUGAUAUAAGGCAAGAAUAAGAAAUUUCAGUGACAGGGAACAGAAAUCAUAUUUCUGCAUUCAGGAUCAUGUUUUCUUGGCUCCAUCAGGAACUGUGCAGGACUGUGCACUCUGUUGAUACUCACAUGGUGGAAUUAUAUUGCCCUUGGCCAACCCUAAAGCCAUCAAGAUAGCAGGUUUGGAAUAAUUCACUGUCGAAGUCUUCUUGAGCUGAGCAGUCAUGUGAGCUUGGAAGAUGAUCCCUCUCCAGCUGAUCCUUCAGCUCAGGCCAUCAUCUACAUCUGGAUUCCUGACCCGGAGAAACUAUGAGUAAUGUGUGCUGCUUUUGAGCCACUAAGCUACAUGAAUUAAUGAAGGAUCAUUAUUAAGUUUUUAAUGGGUCAAGAGAAAGUUACCACUGAGGUCUUCUCUACCUGGGCAACAAUUGACUCCUAACAACCACUAUAAGCUUGGAAGAUGAUCCCUCCCCAGCUGAUCCUUCAGGCUCAGACUUUGACAGUCCUCUGAUAUACUUUAUAUGUAAAUAGAUGGCUGAGUGUUCUGGCUGAUGAACAUGGGUUACUUAACCAGAGUUAAGCGAGGACUUUCUCACCUGAAACCACCAAGAGACACAAAAGCCAGAAAAGGACAGAAAUUAAUUCAAGGGUCAACAAAUAGAGUCGGCUUUCUUUAAGACCUGAAGUGUAGAAGUCUAGGUUGAACCCUAGGUUGAUUACGUUGAAGACUACAUUCUCCUGUGAAGCAAGCAUUCCUAAAGGGUCUCUACUUUUUGUAGCCUGGGGAUUUUCUACUCCCCCAACAGCCAGAUGAGGCAGAAACCCCUACAGACAUCCCUAUGUGCCUCCUGUGCAAGUGCAGUUGCCCCUUGAAGGCAGUUCUCCUGCUGCAGACCACGCCCACCAAGGGCAGAGUCACAGCCACUGCAGCUGAGCUCAGAGCCUUCUGUGGGGUCUGCAGGGGCAAGGCCAGCUGUCCCCUGGGAUAGUUUGAAGAAUGCAGUUUGUUUGUAUAAUAAAGAUGUUUCUCUACGUCAUUCAUCUUGCUAAUCAAGGACGUUUAACAGCUUCAGACUUUCCUGGUAAUAUUUGUUCUUGCCUUUUUUUGGCAAAUAUAGUUAACACUUCUAUGCAUUUUUUACCUCACAUAAACAUCAUCUAAAACCAUUCAUAUUUCUGUAUUGCGUAUUAAUGCUUUUCAUUCCUGUAUAUAAAAAUGCAUUCAUAAUCGCUUUUCAAAAUACAUUUUCAGUUACCUUUUCAAGCAUCAUUCUUUACUAAUUGAAUGGAAAUAUCACUUUUAUUGAG
rnacentral:lncRNA from 1 species